AGAAAAUAUUGAUGAUCUCAUUCCUGUUACUUAAACUGGGAACAAGUGGCAAGUUGCUGAGCUUCCCACAGACUAGCUGAGGACACAGUGCCAAAGAGGAACCUGCAUUCUUUUCCCUAAAUGUAAUGAGGCUGAAAAAAGAUUCUGAAGAAGAUGUAGAGUUAUUUUGGUAGAGCUUCCAAGAAGACUCUGAUGCAAUGAAGCAGUGAACCCAAGCUUACAUAGCAAGUUUGUGACAGAAGAUGUCUGACAAGCUUCUCUCUAUGCUACGCUGCCACUGCUGAGUAAGUUCUUUCACUUCCAUGCAGAGGCACUCAAAAGUACAGAAUCACGCUGGAACAAUGGG
rnacentral:lncRNA from 1 species